GUGCUCACUUUGGCAGCACAUAUACUAAGAUUGGAACAAUACAGAAAAGAUUAGCAUGGUCCCUGCAUAGGGAUGGCAUGCAAAUUCAUGAAGCAGUACAUAUUUUU
rnacentral:snRNA from 1 species